UAAGAACACAGGGAUUGCCCUAGUAACGGCGAGUGAAGCGGCAACAGCUCAAAUUUGAAAUCUGGCUCUUUCAGGGUCCGAGUUGUAAUUUGCAGAGGGCGCUUUGGCGUUGGGAGCGGUCCAAGUUCUUUGGAACAGGACGUCACAGAGGGUGAGAAUCCCGUACGUGGUCGCUAUCCUUCGCCGUGUAAAGCCCCUUCGACGAGUCGAGUUGUUUGGGAAUGCAGCUCUAAAUGGGAGGUAAAUUUCUUCUAAAGCUAAAUACUGGCCAGAGACCGAUAGCGCACAAGUAGAGUGAUCGAAAGAUGAAAAGCACUUUGGAAAGAGAGUCAAAUAGCACGUGAAAUUGUUGAAAGGGAAGCGCUUGCAGCCAGACUUGCCUGUAGUUGCUUAUCUGGACUUUUGUCCAGUGCACUCUUCUGCGGGCAGGCCAGCAUCAGUUUGGGCGGUUGGAUAAAGGUCUCUAUCACGUACCUCCUUUCGGGGAGGCCUUAUAGGGGAGACGACAUGCAACCAGCCUGGACUGAGGUCCGCGCAUCUGCUAGGAUGCUGGCGUAAUGGCUGUAAGCGGCCCGUCUUGAAACACGGACCAAGGAGUCUAACAUCUAUGCGAGUGUUUGGGUGUCAAGCCCAGACGCGUAAUGAAAGUGAACGGAGGUGGGAACCUUUUAGGUGCACCAUCGACCGAUCCUGAUGUCUUCGGAAGGAUUUGAGUAAGAGCAUAGCUGUUGGGACCCGAAAGAUGGUGAACUAUGCUUGAAUAGGGUGAAGCCAGAGGAAACUCUGGUGGAGGCUCGCAGCGGUUCUGACGUGCAAAUCGAUCGUCAAAUUUGGGCAUAGGGGCGAAGACUAAUCGAACUAUCUAGUAGCUGGUUCUGCGAGU
rnacentral:rRNA from 1 species